AGGGUGUAAACGCUGCAGACUUGGUGUUGGAAGUCCUUUGGGGGCAUUCAGUGCCGGAGAGAAGUUGUUAAGUCUGCUACUUGGGGAGUACGUCCGCAAGGAUGAAACUUAAAGGAAUUGGCGGGGGGAGGCACCGCAACGGGAGGAGCGUGCGGUUUAAUUGGAUUCAACACCGUAAACUCACCAGGGAAGACUGUUACAUGAAGGCCGAGAUGAAGACUCUGCUAGAUUUUCAGAGAGGAGGUGCAUGGCGUCAGUGACU
rnacentral:rRNA from 1 species